rnacentral:rRNA from 1 species
CCUACGGGGGGCAGCAGUGGGGGAUAUUGCACAAUGGGGGGAACCCUGAUGCAGCGACGCCGCGUGGGUGAAGGAGUGCUUCGGCAUGUAAAGCCCUAUCGGCAGGGAAGAAGCAAGACGGUACCUGACUAAGAAGCCCCGGCUAACUACGUGCCAGCAGCCGCGGUAUUACGUAGGGGGCGAGCGUUAUCCGGAUUCACUGGGUGUAAGGGGAGCGUAGACGGCCAAGCAAGCCAGGGGUGAAAGCCCGGGGCCCAACCCCGGGACUGCCCUUGGAACUGCAUGGCUGGAGUGCGGGAGGGGCAGGCGGAAUUCCGGGUGUAGCGGUGAAAGGCGUAGAUAUCAGGAGGAACACCGGCGGCGAAGGCGGCCUGCUGGACCGCGACUGACGUUGAGGCUCGAAAGCGUGGGGAGCGAACAGGAUUAGAUACCCUAGUAGUA